UACGUAGGUGGCAAGCGUUGUCCGGAAUUAUUGGGCGUAAAGCGCGCGCAGGUGGUUCCUUAAGUCUGAUGUGAAAGCCCACGGCUCAACCGUGGAGGGUCAUUGGAAACUGGGGAACUUGAGUGCAGAAGAGGAAAGCGGAAUUCCACGUGUAGCGGUGAAAUGCGUAGAGAUGUGGAGGAACACCAGUGGCGAAGGCGGCUUUCUGGUCUGUAACUGACGCUGAGGCGCGAAAGCGUGGGGAGCAAACAGG
rnacentral:rRNA from 1 species